rnacentral:rRNA from 1 species
AUUGAACGCUGGCGGCAGGCCUAACACAUGCAAGUCGAACGAGUGGCGGACGGGUGAGUAAUGCCUGGGCAACUGGCCCAUGGAGGGGGAUAACUACUGGAAACCGUAGCUAAUACCGCAUACCAUCGAAUGUGCCCAGAGGGGAUUAGCUAGUAGGUGGGGUAAAGGCUCACAGAGUCGACGUUCCCUAGCUGGUCUGAGAGGAUGACCAGCCACACUGGAACUGGGACACGGUCCAGACUCCGACGGGAGGCAGCCGUGGGAAUUCUUCCACAAUGGGCGCAAGCCUGAUGCGGCCAUGCCGCGUGUAGGUGGAGGGCCUUCGGGUUGUAAAGUACUUUCAGCGGGGAGGCGUUACCCGCAGAAGAAGCACCGGCUAACUCCGUGCCAGCAGCCGCGGUAAUAC